CUGUUUGCUUACAAUCCGACCCUGCUUCGUGUACAAAUGCAAUGCCAUUUCGGCAGGGCUAUAGGCUACGAAACCUUUCGAACUCGAAAAGGCGCUACUAAUUUUGAAUAGGUACUUAAUAUUGGGUAAAAGUAAUAGAUAAGAUUGUUUUACAUUAAAUAUUUGACAGAUCGAUGUAACUCGUCAAGCGGAAUCCGAGAAGAAAAAUGACGGAUGUGCUGUUUGCUGAUAGUCCAGAACGGCUUCGUGUACAAAUGCAUGGCGGGGAGACCAGAAAGUUUUCGAAACUGCGUGAGUGGAAGUCUGCGUUGGACAAAUUUUGAAAAUAUCUGAAGGUUUAACGAAUUUUGGAGAAUUCGACAGAGCUACAGACUACGAAACCUUUCGAAACGAACACACGUGUCCUGUUGAACUUGAAAAAAGACGAAAUUAUUUUUAAAAAGAUCAUGGUAACUCGUGAAGCAACAUCUCAGAAUUGAAUCGGGGAACGAGGAAUCAAAAAAAGGUUAACAAUUUGGAUCAUUUUGGAAGAUACAUACGCCGCGCUUUUCAAAGCGGACAGACGUGCCCUUGUCCAACUGAAACGAACACACGUGUCCUGUUGAACUUGAAAAAAGACGAAAUUAUUUUAAAAAGAUCAUGGUAACUCGUGAAGCAACAUCUCAGAAUUGAAUCGGGGAGUUGUGUAUUUGCUGGCAAUCCGGGCCUGCUUGGAUCAUUUUGGAAGAUACAUACGCCGCGCUUUUCAAAGCGGACAGACGUGCCCUUGUCCAACUGAAACGAACACACGUGUCCUGUUGAACUUGAAAAAAGACGAAAUUAUUUUAAAAAGGUAUAUUGUUGCUAAAUAAUAGAUUUUUUUUUAAUUAAAAUAUUUGACAGAUCAUGGUAACUCGUGAAGCAACAUCUCAGAAUUGAAUCGGGGAGUUGUGUAUUUGCUGGCAAUCCGGGCCUGCUUGGAUCAUUUUGGAAGAUACAUACGCCUGCGCUUUUCAAAGCGGACAGACGUGCCCGUGUCCCACUUGACAAAGGCGGAAUUAUUUUAGGAAAGACCAUGGCAACUAGUAAAGCAGAAUCCGAGAAUUCAAUCGGCGGCUGUAUGUUGACUGACAAGAAUAUAAUUGCUGUUAAUCCGGCCCUGCUUCUUGUACAAAUGCAUAGUGGGGAGACAUGAACAUUUUUCGAAAAUGCGGCCCUAUCCUCUUGGGAUUCUACGUUGGACAAAUUCUGAAAACGACCCAGAAAUAUAAUUGGAGGUUCAAACCCGUGCGAGGUGAGGUUUGAUAUAUGAAACAGACCAGUCAUGGGGACACGAGAUAUGGAAAGUUUCAGCGUAGUCGUCGCCACAUUGCUGCCAACACUGCAUAUAUAAGGAAUCACGAACCAUUCAGGUAAAAUUUUGAAAACACAUAGUUAUGGCAAUAUAGAACCUCUCUUUUUUUAACAGGAAUAUUGAGACUUAGACCAGUAUCUUUUAAGUAGGCAUGUGGGGUAAAGAAGACGCAGAAGCUUCACUCGGGUACCGUCGGUAACGUAGGCGAUUGAUAUAUUUCCACCACUACAUAUGUUGGAUUGGAAUUUCCCAUUUGAUGCUUUGACUGACUAAAUGAGGAAACUUGGAGGUAAGCUCUUACGGAAUUCUAUCGAAAUAUGUUUAGUAACAUAUUGGUGCAUUACUCUGUCUUCCAGUCAGUUUCACAUAAACUUUGCACGUAUUAUAGAAAUCCCACCUACUUUUUUUUGUGUUAAUAUUAUUGAAAGUAGUAGCUGGUAGCUGUAGUCAUAAGCCCAGAGAGUCUCUGUUUUGAACAUAAUACACAAAAUGGGGCGUUCAAAAACAAUAGACUGCAUGCCUUUUAGAGUCGGCGUAAACUAUGGUCAUAUACCCCUGAUCAAAUUCAGAACUAGAAAAUCGUUGUGUCUCUGCAUUAAAAAUAAUAGUAAAAUUUAUUGUAGGCACCUAGUAGAGUAUCGAAAAUUUCCAUUUUUAGUGCCAAAUUGGUUACUCCAGUAAAUUCCAACUGUUCUAAUUUUUUUUUAAUAAUUUAUGAUGUUAGUGAGUUUCAUUGCAAUUAUUUGUUACUUAAAUUUUCUACGUAUUAAACCUUAAUUAACAAUACGUUAUUCGUUAACGCAGGUAGAAUUAAUGACGCUAACUGACCUGAUUUUGUCCAGGGGGGCGUAGUACGGUAGUUUGUACUGUGAUGUUUGGUAGUUUGGCAGUGAGCUCUCAUUUAUGAAACUGGGGAAUGUUUCGUUAUCUUCAAAUCGUAAACACGUAUCAUUAGAAUUAUAUUUUUAAAAUAUUGAUUAGGACAUGUACUAAGUAACUAAAUGUUCUAGCGAAAAUAUUCACACAUAUUGCGGAAAACGUACAAAUUUAAAUUAGAGAAAAUUAACUAUUUUUAGAGGUUGGUUUUUCAAAAAGGUGGGGAUUUAGUUAGAGAACAGAUAGAGACUAAAGGGAAGCUCUAUGAGAAAAGUUAGAAUUAAAAAGUCGAUGUUUUCGUGUCAUAGCGAAAGAUGGGUUAUUAUUAAAAAUAAUACUUGCAUUAAUUGUUGUCACCAUUUGUGAAAAAUAUGGAAAAUAUCCUCUAGGUUCGCAUACCUUUUUUUAAUUUUUUUAAGGUGGCUAACAAAAUACACAGACAGAAAAGUUUAGAUCCUGUUCGUUAAUGUAGCGCAUAGAAAAAAAUUAGAAAAGAGAACGUUUCGUGUAUGGCAUACGUAGUUAGUACGGAAUAUUAAUCUGAAGGCUUCAAGACAGUGAAAGAGUGAUGCGCUUAAGUGUGGUUCAGAGAGGUUAUUUGGGCUGUAGAAGUUUUUCUUUGAACAGGGUUCAAAUAGCGUCUCCUAGAGCGUUAGCAGAGAAGAGUAUUACAGUAAUUAGUAUAAGCGUCCAGAUUUCAUUGUUGUUGAGAUUGGCAUAGAAACACACUUUUAUGUAGUAGUAGCAGCAGCUUUAAAGUAUAUGAGUUUUUAGUUAAGAUGCCUUUCGAGUUUGCUUUAUGGCUUGAUAGGAAAUUAAAGGGUAGAUACAGAUAAGUUACGAAAAAAAGUAUGUACACUAUUCUCAAAGAUCAGCAAUAAAUAAAAGAAAUUGAUGAAAUAGUAAAGUUGACUGCGAUAUCUGAAAAUCAUCAAUAAGAUAGAUAAAUUAAUUUUGAAAAUAUUAAAUAAUAAAAACAAAUAAUAAAAUAGCAAAGAAAAUCAAAAUCAUCAAUAAGAUAGAUAAAUUAAUUUUGUAAAUAUUAAAUAAUAAAAAUAAAAUUAUAAUAGCAAAGAAAGCCUACCACGGCCACAUACACAUAAUAUUUUCGACAUAUGAACUUUUCCCAGAUAAAUAGUCAAAUAUUUCACGAUACCUUAAAACAGAAGCAUGCGGAAAUAUGUAUGAAGUUAACGCACGGUAGAUGGCUUAUUAAUUAAAAAGGUAUAUGGUUUCUAAUAUCCUACUUUAUUAAUGAAAAUUUUAACCAGGUUUUUGUUUUGCAGAUAUUAUUGCUGGUGCCUGCCAGCUUCCAGUUCCGAGAAAAGAAAUCCAACACUUUUCGUCUUUAUUUCCCCUGUCCUUUGUGCGCAAUAAAAGUACAGUUUGUACCCGCGAGGGUACACAUUCGCAGAAGUAUAUGUUUUUAAAAUAAAUGUUUUGGUCAAUAUUCACUAGGUGGGGUUACCUUAUUAAAGAAAAUCUUAUUCCAAGAGGGGACACUAGUUUACAUUCGAACCGCUAGAGGGUGCAGAUGGUCACGCGAACAAUAUGAUCAAGUCUCAUUGACGGCAUUGCUUUUCUUAAGGGUGGGAAAAUAUCUGGGCUCUGAUUGGCUUCGCCGCCAUCGCAAACUAGAGGUGGGGAGAUUGAUUAAACCCCAUUGGUGCUUGCUUAUCCAAUGGGAGCCAGU